rnacentral:rRNA from 1 species
GGCAAUAGGGAAACCGAGUCUGAUAAGGGCGAUUAGUUGCUGGGCGUAGACCCGAAACCAAGUGAUCUAUCCAUGGCCAGGAUGAAGGUGCGGUAACACGCACUGGAGGUCCGAACCCACUAACGUUGAAAAGUUAGGGGAUGAGCUGUGGAUAGGGGUGAAAGGCUAAACAAACUUGGAAAUAGCUGGUUCUCUCCGAAAACUAUUUAGGUAGUGCCUCAAGUAUCACCGACGGGGGUAGAGCACUGUUAUGGCUAGGGGGUCAUCGCGGCUUACCAAACCAUUGCAAACUCCGAAUACCGUCGAGUGCGAGCUUGGGAGACAGACAUCGGGUGCUAACGUCCGGUGUCGAAAGGGAAACAACCCAGACCGCCGAUUAAGGUCCCAAAGACAUAGUUAAGUGGGAAACGAGGUGGGAAGGCUCAGACAGCCAGGAGGUUGGCUUAGAAGCAGCCAUCCUUUAAAGAAAGCGUAAUAGCUCACUGGUCGAGUCGUCCUGCGCGGAAGAUGUAACGGGAC